AUGGUUGGAAACCAGACAAAUUCAUGGUGUUCAUUACAGAGCUUGGAGAUAACUGGUGAGGUUUUUUUAUGUCACACAUUGGGCUGGAAAGAUCCCAAAAAAUUGGAAUAUAAAUCUAAUGUCUCUCAUUUUUCCCUAAUUCUUGGAUUCUAUGCAGGCAACAAGCUCAGCUCAACAGCAACCUCUCUAUUCCACUGCAGAUCAGGAAUUUUGGUCCCUUUGGUAACAAGCAUUGAAACCCAAAUGGGUGGGAAGUAGAAACAUUUAAAUUGUGCAUAAAUUGCAGCAGAUCAGCAAUUGCUGCCUGAGUUUAAGCCUGUGAUGGUCUGGGCUGUGCAGAAGAGAUUUCAUCUCCUGGGCAGCCACUCCACUUUUGCACAGGAAUAUUUUUGGGUGUUGUCUCCUUUAGUUUUGGCUCACCCCAAUAAUUCAGUUCCACUCUGGGUUCCUCAUGGGCUUCUGCUCCAGGGACCUGAUUCAAACCAGGAGCUUGUAAAGGCACCAGGGGAAAACCCUGAUUUGAGACUGCUUGUAGGCAGGCAAAAGGUUUGAGAAUCCUUAAACCCUAAAGUGUGUGGUGCAGACUGAAAGGAUUUAUUCCCAAUGUUUUCAAGGAUGAUUUUUUAUUGCCAGUGUUUUCUUGUGAACAGGCUGUGGGAUGUCCCUGGCUGCACACAACUGGAGCAAGAAAAAGAGAAAUAAUGAGAAAUAUUCUUCUGUUGUGUUGGCUUCUGAUAGCUGGUGUGCCUAAAACCUGUUUUUUUGGAGCAUGUUUUGGUUUUGUUUUUUUGGGUUUUUUUUGUUUGUUUUUGGUUUUGUUUUUUGUGUGGUUUAUUUGUAUUUGGGGUUUUGUUUGUUGUUAUUUGUGAGGUUUUUGUUUGCUUGGGGUUUGAUUUUGUUGGUUGGUUGGUUGGUUUUGUUUUGGGUUUUUUGACAUCAGAGGGAGAGGACAGGGGUGAUGCCUCCUCCUUUUGCUGCUGGAGGAUUUCUCUGCAAAAAAAAAAAAAAAAAGAGUUGUUCUGAUAUUUUUAUUGUGAGAAAAGUUCUUUCUUCCACUAAGAGGCUCCAGUCUCAAAAGGGAGUAAAUCAGCCAAUAUCAGGGGAUGUUUAUAGCAUUUGGUGUACAAAACACCUUUCAGGGCAUUAAUAGGACCUGAGUACCAUUAAUAAUUAAUAAAUUCAAUAAUUCCUGAGCAGGAACAGUGGGUACCUUUACUCUGCUACCUGUUAAAUGGAGCACUUUGAUGUGAAAAACCAAAAUGUUGGUGUACAUUGGCUCCAGGAGCUGUGACCUGCCCCUUCUCAAAUCCUGGAGCCAGCUCAGCUUUGGUGGGACUCUCCCUGAUGCAGAGGUUCCAAAUUUAACAAACCAGGCUUGUUCCCACCAGCUGAAAUCCUGGCUGAGGUGGAAUUCCUGAUCUUACAAACAGCACCUGGGGCUGCCUCAAAUGCCAUCUUUUCUUUUCACCAUUCAUGCUGUGCUCUGGUUUCCAGGAAAACAUCCUGCUUUGGGGUCAUUUGGGAUGAACCUCUCCAAAAAUAACAGCACUCUGUACCCAGCCUGAAGCAUUUGCUGAGCUGAAAUGGGUUUGAAAAGUGGUUUUUUGGUGUUUUUGCCCUGCUGCUUUUUAAAUAAAUAAAUAAAACUAUCAAUAACUGUAGCUGCUGUAAACAUCUGAGGUAGCUUAGAGCAAACACAGGGUGCUGGUUUUCCUGUGGAAGAAUCCAUUCUUGCUUGACUUUCCCUACAAAACUAAGGAAUAAAACUGAAACAAGGAGUUCUGUGAGUCAGAGAAUUUAAGAAAACCAGCUGAUACAUCAUUUUUGUGUCAAAUCCCUGAUUUAGGGAUUUUUUUUUUAGUCUUGCUCCUUUCAUGGACACUAAGAACUCUAAAAGUGAGACUUGUUCCCCUUGAAUAAAGCUGGAAUUUUCUGCAAAAUAAUGGGAAGAAAAAGGAGUUGGAAUGAACAGUGGCACCUUGACAAGGCUGAAUGGAAGUGGCUAAAAUUUGGUUUGAAGUAGAAAACAUGAACUAUUGUUAAAAAAUUAGGGGUUUGUUCAGUAAUUGUGGCUUGGUGCUGCUCAGGCAGGUGUUGUGCUGAGGGAAUAUCACUGCCUGUGGUGUGUCCAUGUCUAGAAAAAACCACUCCUGGGAUACUUUGGAAUUCCUUUCUCACUUGUAAAAUGAUUGGUGUUAAUACAAGGAUGUGGAAUUGUGAGCAAGGAGUUGGCACAGCAGGUGAAAAAUUAAUAGUGUGGGAUUUUUGUGUUUUAAGGGAAUUAGUUCAGGGUAGGAUGAUCUGGCUAAGUUUUAUCAGCAGCCAGCGAGGAACUGGUUAAAGCUGAGGGAAAAAAAGAGGUGGAAGAAAUGGAGUUGGAGUCAGCAAAGUGUGAGCAGCAGCAGGUUACUCACCAGCCACACUCCCUGCCUGAGUCAGGGCUGCUUCCUCAGGGAAAAAAGGACAGCACGGGCACUGCCAGGCCAGGGUGGCACUGCCAGGGUGACAUGGCACAGCCAGGGUGACACUGCACACCCAGGGUGACACGGCACAGCCAGCUGGGAUCUGCCCAGCAGCACCAGGUACAUCCCCAGGGUAAGUCUGGGACUACUCACUCUGUGUUUCCACCUUGUUCUGAGAGAGAAACAUGCAUUUCCACCUUGUUCUGAAGGAGAAAUAUGGAUUUCCACCUUGUUCUGUGGGAGAAAUACGGAUUUUCACAUUGUUCUGUGGGAAAAAUUGCAUUUCCACCUUGUUCUGAGGGAGGAAUUGUAUU
rnacentral:lncRNA from 1 species